AUUGAACGCUGGCGGCAUGCCUUACACAUGCAAGUCGAGCGGCAGCGCGGGGGCAACCCUGGCGGCGAGCGGCGAACGGGUGAGUAACAUAUCGGAACGUACCCAGUCGUGGGGGAUAACUAUCCGAAAGGAUAGCUAAUACCGCAUACGUCCUGAGGAAGAAAGCAGGGGAUCGCAAGACCUUGCGCUAUUAGAUGAGCUUGCGUCCGAUUAGCUAGUUGGUGGGGUAAAGGCCUACCAAGGCGACGAUCGGUAACUGGUCUGAGAGGAUGAUCAGUCACACUGGAACUGAGACACGGUCCAGACUCCUACGGGAGGCAGCAGUGGGGAAUAUUGGACAAUGGGGGCAACCCUGAUCCAGCCAUGCCGCGUGUGUGAAGAAGGCC
rnacentral:rRNA from 1 species